rnacentral:rRNA from 1 species
GAAGAACGCUGGCGGCGUGCCUAAUACAUGCAAGUCGAGCGAACAGACGAGGAGCUUGCUCCUCUGACGUUAGCGGCGGACGGGUGAGUAACACGUGGAUAACCUACCUAUAAGACUGGGAUAACUUCGGGAAACCGGAGCUAAUACCGGAUAAUAUAUUGAACCGCAUGGUUCAAUAGUGAAAGACGGUUUUGCUGUCACUUAUAGAUGGGUCCGCGCCGCAUUAGCUAGUUGGUAAGGUAACGGCUUACCAAGGCAACGAUGCGUAGCCGACCUGAGAGGGUGAUCGGCCACACUGGAACUGAGACACGGUCCAGACUCCUACGGGAGGCAGCAGUAGGGAAUCUUCCGCAAUGGGCGAAAGCCUGACGGAGCAACGCCGCGUGAGUGAUGAAGGUCUUCGGAUCGUAAAACUCUGUUAUUAGGGAAGAACAAAUGUGUAAGUAACUAUGCACGUCUUGACGGUACCUAAUCAGAAAGCCACGGCUAACUACGUG